AAAGCCCAUCGCUCAACGGUGGAACGGCCUUUGAUACUGUUAGACUUGAAUUAUCAAGAAGUAACUAAAAUAUGUCGUGUAGCGGUGAAAUGCUUAGAUAUUACAUGGAACACCAAUUGCGAAGGCAGGUUACUACUAAUGGAUUGACGCUGAUGGACGAAAGCGUGGGUAGCGAACAGGAUUAGAUACCCUGGUAGUCCACGCCGUAAACGA
rnacentral:rRNA from 1 species